CCUAUAUUUUUUAUUGUUAUUUUCGAAUAAGCUGUACAUAAACUAAAUAAUUGUAAAAUUUUAGCUAUUUCUGUAAUUUAGUUCUUUUUUUAUUUCGAUAUUACCUCUUUUUCUCCUAUCAGUUCAACAGAAAAUAAGUACUUUUACAAAAAUGUAUGCUUCUUUCAAUGGCAGAUUGUGAGCGUAAAUGGACGGUGACCCCAUUUUUUUUAUUUCAAAAAUCAGUUCGUGUUAGCCCCUGGUGACUUUUAAAAUGUAGAUAUCAUUGAAAAAGCUCCAAAUUAUCUCCCUUUGGUGCAAAAAUGCCAUUUUUUG
rnacentral:lncRNA from 1 species